AGCAGUAGCCACGGUAAUACGAAGGGUGCAAGCGUUAAUCGGAAUUACUGGGCGUAAAGCGUGCGUAGGCGGUUUGUUAAGUCUGUUGUGAAAUCCCCGGGCUCAACCUGGGAAUGGCAGUGGAUACUGGCUCGCUAGAGUGUGUCAGAGGAUGGUGGAAUUCCCGGUGUAGCGGUGAAAUGCGUAGAGAUCGGGAGGAACAUCAGUGGCGAAGGCGGCCAUCUGGGACAACACUGACGCUGAGGCACGAAAGCGUGGGGAGCAAACAGGAUUAGAUACCCGCGUAGUCCCUGUCUCUUAUAC
rnacentral:rRNA from 1 species